rnacentral:lncRNA from 1 species
UUUCAAUUAAUUAAAUUUAAGUGACCAAUCACUUGGUUUACCCUGGCCAAGGUUUUACUAAAUUGAAACACAGCGAAACAUCAACUCCUAUAAUCUGGAGCGGUCAAUCCCUUCUUGACUCAUACACAGACUUCGUGAGUACUUAACUGCACCCAGCAUCCUUCCGAUCCCUGAAUUAGAAAUUCAGGUCAUCCAGUGCCUAAGUACAGUGAGUUGCUUGCAAGUCACCGUGACAGUCUCAGGUCUAAGGGGUACUUAUGCCCAUACGCUUUGCAAGCUAACUCCUGACAGUAGAGUGCUAUGCAGGUGAGUCACUGUUCAGUGACGAUGUACUCCUACAUCUCACCUGUAUGCCAUACAGUGUCUCCACACUCCUUGAUUUAAGAGGACAACCAACUAAAUGGCACACAACGAC